rnacentral:lncRNA from 1 species
GUUAUAUACAGGGGGUACCGGUACAGAGUCAAUGUGAAGGUUAUAUACAGGGGUUACCGGUACAGAGUCAAUAUGGAGGCUAUAUACAGGGGGUACCGCUACAGAGUCAAUGUGGAGGCUAUAUACAGGGGGUACCGGUACAGAGUCAAUGUGGAGGUUAUAUACAGGGGUUACCGGUACAGAGUCAAUAUGGAGGCUAUAUACAGGGGGUACCGGUACAGAGUCAAUGUGGAGGCUAUAUACAGGGGGUACCAGUACAGAGUCAAUGUGGAGGUUAUAUACAGGGGGUACCGGUACAGAGUCAAUGUGGAGGCUAUAUACAGGGGGUACCGGUACAGAGUCAAUAUGGAGGUUAUAUACAGGGGGUACCGGUACAGAGUCAAUGUGGAGGCUAUAUACAGGGGGUACCAGGUACAGAGUCAAUGUGGAGGCUAUAUACAGGGGGUACCUGUACAGAGUCAAUAUGGAGGCUAUAUACAGGGGGUACCGGU